rnacentral:lncRNA from 1 species
UAAAUACCAAGCAGCACCAGCAACUGGGAACAUUCUUGGUCCAUUGAUCCCUGAUUGUGAAACACUUUUAAUAACUUGGGGGGGGGGAAUGCAAGGCAUCUCUGGAGGGUUAUUCAUCACUUCUUCCAGAGCAGCAGGAUCCUGAUCUCUGGCCCUAGGUACACUACUCAAUAGGUACAGUAGAUCCAUGCUGGAGUGUAGGACAAGAUGGCUUCCUACGUCCAUACUCCAUAGCACCAAGUAGCUCACCAGCACAUAGCCACAGAGGCACCUGACUGAUCAUGUUAGAUUCAGGAGGCUGGCUUGCUCUAAGAUACAUCCACUUAUGCCUGACUGCUUUCUUCUAGUCAGUUUCUCCCAUAAACAUUCAGACCCAACACAUCUCAUAUACACUUUGGAUGGCCUCUAAUCCUUGGAGCAGAGUUUCUAGGAGGGGGAAGAGAUGGAACAUGUGGAAGAAAGAAGUAACAGAAAAAUCACAUCUGCUGAACUCUGCUGUGUUCUUCCCUUUGCAAAUAGAAGGGAGUUGUCUCAUAGUACAUGAAAUAAAGAUUUCUGAGAUACGUUUCUCCAGCAAAAUCCCCCAAAUUCCCUUUCAGGGCAUCUUCAGUAAAAAUUUCAUGCGGCAUCAGCUUGAACAACUGUCAAUAAGAAAAAUACAGAUUUCAGGGUGUUUUCUCCCUGUGUGUCUCGGUUCCUGAACAACAAGGUUAAACUGAACAUCUCUCCUGGGAGCAGAGGAGGAGUCCUUUGCAUAGGCAUCUUCAGGCAGCAAUUAGAGACUGUUUGGUCCUUGAUGAAUGCUGAGGCCAUCAGCCACAAACGUAGCACCUGGGAAAGAAGGCCUACAUCUGGAUCCUCUUUGAUGAAAACCUCUUUGUACCAGUGGUGCCAUUUCUUGGUUGCUGAUGAGUAAUCAAAACUCUAGUCAUUUGUGGGCAUUCUGUGCAUUUAUGGGCUACUGGGAAAAGUCAACUUAUGAUCAGGGCCUCACAAGCAGCUUGUUCAUUAUAUGGCUGGAAUGCAAGAAUUCCUGUGAGUGGAGCUCUCUUUAUUUGAUGCUCUUUCUGGAGGAUGUGCCAUUAACAAGAGCUAGUUCAAGACAUUGUAUUGCCUAAGCCAAGGAAGAGGCUGAAAGCUUGCCUGAAGGACAGAUAUGAUUUCCUGUUAGUACUUUGUUUCCUGUCCAAAGGACUGGGUUAGGGGCUCCAGGAUAAGAGGGGGAAAGCAAUAAUCCCCCACAGCGUGUUCAAGAAUCAUUUGAAUUUAAUCUAUUGAUAAGGGAAGGAGCUCCUCUACCUGUGGCAAAGACAUUCUAGAUCAAUGGUUCUCCUAACCUUGCAAUCC